rnacentral:rRNA from 1 species
UCCGGUUGAUCCUGCCAGAGGUUACUGCUAUCGAGAUUCGACUAAGCCAUGCGAGUUGAAUGUUCUUCGUGAACAUGGCGGACUGCUCAGUAACACGUGGACAACCUACCCUUGGGUCCGGCAUAAUCCUGGGAAACUGGGAAUAAUUCCGGAUAGGUCACCGAUGCUGGAAUGCGCGGUGGCCGAAAGCUCCGGCGCCCGAGGAUGGGUCUGCGGCCUAUCACGGUUGUAGUGGGUGUAACGUACCUACUAGCCUACGACGGGUACGGGUUGUGAGAGCAAGAGCCCGGAGAUGGAUUCUGAGACACGAAUCCAGGCCCUACGGGGUGCAGCAGGCGCGAAAACUUUACAAUGCGGGAAACCGUGAUAAGGGGAUCUCGAGUGCCAGCAUAUAAUGUUGGCUGUCCAGAUGCCUAAAAAGCAUCUGUUAGCAAGGGCCGGGCAAGACCGGUGCCAGCCGCCGCGGUAACACCGGCGGCCCGAGUGGUAACCGCUAUUAUUGGGUCUAAAGGGUCUGUAGCCGGCCAGGUAAGUCCCUUGGGAAAUCUGGCAGCUCAACUGUCAGGCUGCUAGGGGAUACUGUUUGGCUUGGGACCGGGAGAGGUGAGAGGUACCUUGGGGGUAGGGGUGAAAUCUUGUGAUCCUCGAGGGACCACCAGUGGCGAAGGCGUCUCACCAGAACGGGUCCGACGGUAAGGGACGAAAGCUAGGGGCACGAACCGGAUUAGAUACCCGGGUAGUCCUAGCCGUAAACGAUGCUCGCUAGGUGUCAGUCACGGUGCGACCGUGAUUGGUGCCGUAGGGAAGCCGUAAAGCGAACCACCUGGGAAGUAUAGCCGCAAGGCUAAAACAUAAAGGAAUUGGCGGGGUAGCUCUACAACGGGUGGAGCGAGCGGUUCAAGUUGGAUUCAACGCAGGAAAUCUCACCGGGGGAGACAGCGAUAUGAAUGUCAGUCUGAAGAGUAACGAUGAUGAACAGAGAGGGAGCGCGUGGCUGUCGUCAGUUCGUACUGAGAAGCAUCGAGAUAAGUCAGGCAACGAGCGAGACCGCAUAUACACAGUUGCAAGCAUAUUGUCUGCAAUGAGUGGGUACAUAAGUGGAGACUGCCCCCCCUAAAGCGGAGGAAGGAGUGGGCAACGGUAGGUCAGUAUGCCCCGAAUCUCCCGGGGUACACGCGGGGUACAAUGGUUGGUACAAUGGGCAUCUACCCCGAAAGGGGAAGGAAAUCUCUUAAAACCAAUCGUAGUUCGGAUUGAGGGUUGCAACUCGCCCUCAUGAAGCUGGAAUCGGUAGUAAUCGCGUUUCAACAGAAACGCGGUGAAUACGUCCCUGCUCCUUGCACACACCGCCCGUCAAACCACCCGAGUAGGGUCUGGAUGAGGGUGUGUUGUAUUAAUCUACGUUGGAAUCAAGGCUAAUCAACGGGGGUUAAGUCGUAACAAGGUA